CACGUAGGGGGCAAGCGUUGUCCGGAUUUAUUGGGCGUAAAGAGCUCGUAGGCUGUUCGAUAAGUCGGGUGUGAAACCUCCAGGCUCAACCUGGAGACGCCACCUGAUACUGCUGUGACUAGAGUCCGGUAGGGGAGCGUGGAAUUCCUGGUGUAGCGGUGAAAUGCGCAGAUAUCAGGAGGAACACCGGUGGCGAAGGCGGCUCUCUGGACGGUGACUGACGCUGAGACGCGAAAGCGUGGGGAGCAAACAGG
rnacentral:rRNA from 1 species